CACCCGUCCUGCCCUUCGCCGCGAAAUGGCGGCCGCGGCCGCCCGCGCUGCCGAGCGCACCCCGGGACACCGGCUCCGAGCCUCCCGCAGUGGAGAGCGGACGGCUCUGCCCACGGCCUCCCAGAGGAGCGGGAACCCAUCCACGGGCAGACGAAGGGCCUCCGGGAGACCUGAUGCCGCAGGGUCAGGCGUGCGAGGAGAGCAGUUUCCUUGUUUACUCUGCCAUGCAUGAGCCUCUGGCAAGGGGGAAUGGGUGUUGCAAAGGCAGAGGGGCUGCUGAGCCUCUGGAAGACCCGAUGUGGUGGCUGUAGCUGGCAGUGACGAAUUGUGUGAUGAGCACAGUUGCCUGGUGUGCUCCAACAUGCUGAAUCUAGCAAGUAAGGAUGGGUGCUGCAAAGGCAGAGAGUGCCUUGAACCUCCUGGAUGCCAGAUGUGGUGGCUGUAGAUGGCAGCAAUGAAGUGUGUCAUGAGGGCAGUUGCCUGGUUUGCUCCACCAUGGCUGAACCGCUAGCAAGUAGGGAUGGGUGCUGAGAAGGCAGAAGGUGUGUUGAACCUCCUGGAGACCAGAUGUGGUGGCUGUAGCUGGCAGCGAUGAAUUGUGUGAUGAGUUGCCUGGUUUACUUCACCACAUGUGACCCUGCAGCAGGGGGAUUGAAUGGUUGAGAUUUGUCAGAAGUUGUCCUGGGACCUGCUGUGAUUUCAGUGCACUAGCAGAAAGCUGUCUUCUGCUAAUGAUGCCCCUCUCCAUGCUGCUGCCUGUGAUCACUUGUCCAAGCUACAGCAUUCACAUCACCCUGCCAGCAGCUCUGGUCUUUUCUCAGAGCUAGCAGGAGUGAUAAAUUGGUGUCCUGCCAACUUACAGACAGAGAGUGUUACAUUUUUCUUUCUCUUGGUAUGAGGCAUUUAACUGUCAUGGAUUCUGAAACUUGCUGCAUGUUUAAUAUAAUUGAAUGCUUUUGUCUCCAAGGGCUGCAUUUGCCACCUGACAGCUAAUGCUACCCUACCACAACCAUUAAAAGUAAGGAAGCCUUUCUUUAGAGAGCAGUUGUCAAAUUGGGGAGGAUGGCCUCAUGUGUAUGGAGGGGUGGGAUUCAAGUCUUGGCUCUCCCUUGUCAUCCAGGACACUUUAGUAAUGUAUCAUUGGCAGCCUGUAAAGCAGGGAAGGGGCACUUGGAUGCUGCAGCACAGUGUGCAUUUCUGUACUGUUUAGAACCUGUUUUUAAUAAAAUCUGAGUACUAGAUGAAUUCA
ensembl:lncRNA uncharacterized LOC115614991